rnacentral:rRNA from 1 species
GACCGAGGAGCCAAGCGUUGUCCGGAUUGACUGGGCGUGAAGCGCACGCAGGCGGCUGCGCGCGUGGGGUGUGAAAUCUGGCCGCUUAACGGCCAGGCGCCAUCCCAUACGGCGCGUCUGGAGUGAUGCAGAGGUCGAUGGAAUUGCCGGUGUAGUGGUGAAAUGCGUAGAGAUCGGCAGGAACACCCAGGGGGAAACCAGUCGACUGGGCAUCUACUGACGCUGAGGUGCGAGAGCGUGGGGAGCGAACCGG